UACGGGAGGCAGCAGUGGGGAAUAUUGCACAAUGGGCGCAAGCCUGAUGCAGCCAUGCCGCGUGUAUGAAGAAGGCCUUCGGGUUGUAAAGUACUUUCAGUCGUGAGGAAGGUGUUAAGGUUAAUAACCUUAGCAAUUGACGUUAGCGACAGAAGAAGCACCGGCUAACUCCGUGCCAGCAGCCGCGGUAAUACGGAGGGUGCGAGCGUUAAUCGGAAUUACUGGGCGUAAAGGGCACGCAGGCGGUUAAUUAAGUUGGAUGUGAAAUCCCCGGGCUUAACCUGGGAAUGGCAUUCAAGACUGGUUAGCUAGAGUCUUGUAGAGGGGGUAGAAUUCCAUGUGUAGCGGUGAAAUGCGUAGAGAUGUGGAGGAAUACCGGUGGCGAGGCGGCCCCUGGACAAAGACUGACGCUCAUGUGCGAAAGCGUGGGGAGCGAAACAGGGAUUAGAUACC
rnacentral:rRNA from 1 species